CAGAGGUGGCAAGCGUUGUUCGGAAUUACUGGGCGUAAAGGGCGCGUAGGCGGCCUUCUAAGUCAGACGUGAAAUCCCCAGGCUUAACUUGGGAACUGCGUCUGAUACUGGAGGGCUCGAGUGCGGGAGAGGGAUGUGGAAUUCCAGGUGUAGCGGUGAAAUGCGUAGAUAUCUGGAGGAACACCGGUGGCGAAGGCGGCAUCCUGGACCGACACUGACGCUGAGGCGCGAAAGCUAGGGGAGCAAACGGGAUUAGAUACCCCGGUAGUCCUAGCCCUAAAACGAUGAGUGCUUGGUGUGGCGGGUAUCGAUCCCUGCCGUGCCGAAGCUAACGCGUUAAGCACUCCGCCUGGGGAGUACGGUCGCAAGGCUG
rnacentral:rRNA from 1 species